rnacentral:rRNA from 1 species
UACGUAGGGGGCAAGCGUUGUCCGGAAUCAUUGGCGUAAAGCGCGUGUAGGCGGCCCGGUAAGUCCGCUGUGAAAGUCGGGGGCUCAACCCUCGGAUGCCGGUGGAUACUGUCGGGCUAGAGUGCGGGAGAGGCGAGUGGAAUUCCUGGUGUAGCGGUGAAAUGCGCAGAUAUCAGGAGGAACACCAAUUGCGAAGGCAGCUCGCUGGAACGGUUACUGACGCUGGAGACGCGAAAGCGUGGGGAGCAAACAGG